GCAAAUAUUUGUAGCCCUUCCUUCCAGAGAGUGGCUUGGUAGACCUGCGAGUCAGCAUGCUGUGGGCAUCAGUCAGUGUGUUUUACAAAGAGAAUAGUGAACAUCAGAGAUCAAUUUGGCUAGUCUGUCUGGUGGCCAUCAAUUAAGAAGUUUCUCUUAUAUUUGAAGAUAGGCUGAUUUAAAUUUCCUACUUUUAGUUUAUCCCUAUUGUAAAAAAAUAUCCACGAGGCCUAUGUAUUACUUAUGUAAUCAGAACCAAAAAAACUAGCAAUACAAUCAUUAUUUUUAAAAACUGGAAAGCAUCUUUUUCCUCAUCUAAGUUUGUCUUUUUCCCAUGGUCCAACCUCUCCAUUUGUAAAAUGGGUUGUAUUUGUUCCUCUAUGCUUCCCAGUGUGCAAUGAAGAUUGAUUCUUAAUAGAAGUGCAACUGACUGGUCCUAUGAGAGGACUAGGGCAGCUGUGGAAUAGAAGCCCUACAGUGUCCCCUCUGGCCAUCUGAGGGGAGUGGUGGCACUGUGCCUGCUUAUUGUGAGCUGGCUAUGCAGCCUUGUUGUGACUGGUGACCCCUGACCUCAAGGGAGGCUGGUGGCUGCCUAUUCUGCCUGGAUGACUUGAUAUCUCAUCACUUCCAAAGGGAGGUGCCCAAGCUGCAACCCAGAACAACAUUAUCAUGGAGUUCUAGACCUGGUGUGGGGAGCAUGGGGAUAAACCUCAGAAGCCUCCAGAGAGAGAUCAGUGGACUCUGGGAGUGUCGAUCGCAGACUGACCAUCGCUGGGGCCACAUUCAAGCAGCAGCCCUUUGUCCAGAGCCAUUUCCUCCACUGGCCUUAAUUCCUGUAGUGCCCAGAUGGUGAUGAAGUCAGAUGCCAAGGGGAAAGUGACUUUACCCCCUAGAGAGAUUUUUAAAUAUUCCCCAACUGCUCUGGCUCUUUGACAGUGGAUGGCUCUCCAGAAGCAACAGAUUCUCUUCCAGCCGCUUCAGUUGUUUCCUCACAGUCCCCAUCCUCGUUGUCAGGUGAUUCCGCAUUCUCAGGCUGCUCACUGGCCCUGGCAGAGCCCUCUUUCCCUGCUGUGCUGGCAGCAGACCCAUAAGUGUUAAUGAUGUCUUCCAGCUGUUGAUUCAGCUCUUCAGAGAUAUCAGGGGGCACACCUGCCUCUUUCUCCAGUGGUUGGACUGGGGUUGAAGAAUCCUGGCCAUCUUCCUUCUCCAGGCCAUUGUGACUGGGUAAUGAUGAACUGGCCCCUGGAGGUGUUGACUGUUGUUCCGCUGAGAGCUGUUCAGAGUGAUUAGCCUCCAUCUUGGGACUGGUAUCUAGUGGUAAGCACAGUUAGGCUUUACAUAGCUAACCUAGAUGCUACACAUCAAUGCUUCAUUUCAAUGGUAAGGAUAUCCCCCAAGUGAAUGCCAACUAAUUAUGGUCUCUAACAUAGAGUGAAUGUCCUUUCACAAACCAUCGAUGUUACAAUUAUUAAAGUAGGAACACUGAAAAGUUGUUUUUCCAAAUCAAGUCACACCACUGGCAUAUUUUUGGUUUUGCUCUUCACUUUUCAAUAGUAUUCCUUAUUAUUCACAUUAAGAAAGUAAUUCAUGCUAUUGUUUCUUUGUGGCCUUAUUUGUCAUUUUGCUUACACUAGUCAGUUUGUGUUAUCAUUUGCCUGUAUAAUUCUAUGUAGAUUAACAAUCACUGGAGGUACAUGACUGUGUAUAUUUAAAAUGUUUAAAUCUAAAAUGGCAUUAGUUUUCUUUCAAGUUAAAACAUUUAAUAGAAGAGCCAUCGAAUUUAUUUAAAUGACUCAUAACAAUAACAUCUCUAAGCUCUAUUUGAUCCAUAAAUCAGUAUUUUGCUUAGUAUGAAUAUUUUGAUGUAAAUGCAUUAUUACACUGGAUACAGGAGACAUUUCUCUCUUUUCUGGCGUUUUCUUUUUGAGAUGAGCAAUGCGAAUGCUUUCUCUGAGGCUCAAACUGGCAUCAUUUUUCGAUUAAGACAGGGAAUGAGGGAAGGUAUAAAUAAAUAAACCAAGUAGUAUAGAAACA